rnacentral:rRNA from 1 species
AUGUUGCCAUUGGACGCCUUGCACCCUGGAAACAUAUCCAUGGGCAUGCCGCCCAUGGACCCUGCGGUCGCCUUGGACAUAGUCAUGGAGGUGGCGUUCUUUCGGCACACCAUGCCGACUUACUGUUGGAAACUGAUGAGGUGGCUCAACAUCGGCUCCGAGAGAAAGCUCGGCAUGGCGCACGGGGUGCUAAGAGAGUUUAUUGUCGAGAUGAUGGAGAAGAGGAAGAUCAAGACAUCUCGUGUUGCUAAUGACGAGGAACAAGAGUGUAUGGAUAUGAUCUCUUACUGCCUCCAUGGCAUAGGUGACACCGACGAUGAACUGCGCCAAGCGAUGAUCAUUAGCUUCAUGCUCGCCGCAAGGGACACGGUUGGAACAACCCUGUCAUGGAUAUUCUAUAACCUUGCUCAGAAUCCAAAUAUUGUGUCCAUCAUCCGUAAUGAGCUAUCCCCAAUUGCAUCACGCAAAGUAGAAGCAGGUGCAGAUGGCAUGGUGAUGUUUGAGCCGAAUGACACUCGAUCUCUAAUUUAUCUAAGAGCAGUCUUGUAUGAGACUCUUAGAUUGUACCCACCUGCACCACUCGAGCGGAAGACGGUGGUCGCCAGUGAUAUCAUGCCAAGUGGCCAUGAGGUGCACACUAGCGACAUCAUCCUUAUUUCUCUCCACUCCAUUGGAAGAAUGGAGAGCGUGUGGGGUAAAGACUGCCUUGACUAUAACCCAAAUAGGUGGCUCUCGGAUAAUGGAGACAACCUAAAGUAUGUACCAUCUCACAAGUUCUUGGCCUUCAACUCCGGACCAAGGAUGUGCCUAGGCAAGGAUAUCGCGAUUAUGCAGAUGAAGACAGUCAUUGCCUCAACACUGUGGAACUUCGAUAUGCAAGUGAUGGAAGGGCAAAGCAUCCAGCCCAAGCCGUCUUGUAUAUUGAAGAUGCAAAAUGGGCUCAUAGUUAAGCUGAAGAAACGACACAUGUAA